rnacentral:lncRNA from 10 species
GGCUCCAAAGCCAGGGCUCAUUUCCAUCCUUUCCCCCUAAGUCAAGGAUUCCCGACAUCCCGAAACCACCCAGCCCCAGGUGCUGCCAGGCUGAGGUUGAGGCUUUAGAAAGAGCAACCUCAGGGAGGAGAGUUUGGAGAGGGCCGCUGCUGGGGUGAGGGGAGGAGCGCCUGCAGGUGAGGAACCCGGAGCUAAGGGGUGUGGCCCCGCUGCGCAAUGACCCGGGCGUCUGAUUCCAAGGCCGAGAAGUUCAAGAACGAAAUCUACUAGGGAGCUCUGAUGAUUUCACCACUCGGUGGUAUGGGCUACACCAGUUGGGUGGAAGUGGGGGUGGGGGCGCUCUCCGGGCCCGGUGUACCCCUAGGCUCAUCUGAAUGGGCCUUGAGGCUUCUUCCUACCCACCCACCGCCAUCCUCCGUCCAGUUCCAUAAUGACAGCGAGGAGGCAGAAACCCUAAAUCCUGAAACAUUUUGAGUGGAACCCAGCACGCAGGAACCUGCGAGAUUCUUCCGUUUCGUCGAGGUCCGCAUCGAUUGUAUUGACCUCCCCGUGGGCCAGCUUGUCUCCUUCAUCGAUCAGCCGAACGAAGUCUAGGACAGAACUGUAGACCAAAGGAAAUCGCAGGCGUCUUUGCAAAGCUGGUGGGAAGUAACCCAGCGGCUGCUGGAAAACGAAUGGGUGACCUAAGCCGGUUCCACCCCCUCCCAGGGCGUCGGCAAAAGGAGCUUCUCACCCCACUGCCUCUUAUUCGAUCACUAAUUCAUUUUUUAGUUUGGUUCUGUUUUUAAAACAAAAAUUAAAGAAAAAAUAGUUUAUUUGGUCAAUCAACAAACAUUUGAUGAACACACUGCAUGUGCCAGAGACUACGGUGAGCAUUGGGGUACUAGCGGUGGGGAGAAGUCUGUACAGAAGCAUAAAACCCUGGCGGCGGGGGAGGGGUUAUGGAAACCUCUUUACUGUCAAUUUUUAACAAUGUGAAGGCGCAAGACUCCCUAGUUGUCUAUCCCAAAGUUUUCUGUUUGUGCAGAGCGGCAGUACUACCCACUUGUAGGCAAGGUGUGUGCUCUGAGUGCAAGAAACGGACCGGAGAGUUUAGAAGUUAGGGCCUUUGAGCUGGGAGCUGGGGUGAGCAGAUCCGGGAAAGUCUUUUGCGGGACAGCGGCUGGGUGUUAAGCUCCAGCUCCCGCGCACGCCUGGCGCCCGCGGUGACCUCCGCCAACCAGGUCAGUAACGCUGUCUGGGUUUCCAAGGCUCCCAGGAGCAAAAAAAUCACCCAGCCCUACCUCUCCACAGCGCGUGGAAGAGCUAAGGCUGAUUGAGUUUGACCUUUCUGUCCAGAGAUCUUGAAAUUAAGCCCUCUCCUGUCCCACUCUUCGUGGGCCUCGAUUUUCCUCAUCUUCAAAAUGGGAAUAAUAAUAUAUUUUUACCGGAGUGAACAAAACUCAGGACCAUAAGCAUUAAGCUGGAAGGGACCCAUCUUUUAUUCACUCCCUUGUCUCCAAUACUUUGAAGACUAUCUGGCACCU